rnacentral:rRNA from 1 species
AACGAACGCUGGCGGCAUGCCUAACACAUGCAAGUCGAACGAGACCUUCGGGUCUAGUGGCGCACGGGUGCGUAACGCGUGGGAACCUGCCCUUAGGUUCGGAAUAACUCUCCGAAAGGGGUGCUAAUACCGGAUAAUGUCUUCGGACCAAGGAUUUAUCGUCUUUGGAUGGGCCCGCGUUGGAUUAGCUUGUUGGUAGGGUAAAAGCCUACCAAGGCGACGAUCCAUAGCUGGUCUGAGGGGAUGAUCAGCCACACUGGGACAGGGACACGGCCCAGACUCCGACGGGAGGCAGCAGUGGUGAAUAAGGGACACCGGGCGAAAGCCGGAUCCAGCAAUGCCGCGUGAGUGAUUAAGGCCUUAGGAUUGUAAAGCUCUUUUACCCGGGAUGUUAAGGCCGGUACCGAGAGAAUAAGCCCCGCCUACCUCCGU